rnacentral:misc_RNA from 1 species
CAUUCUUCUUAAAUCUAACUUUUUGUUAUGGUUUAAGGUGUUGAACUAUAAUCGCGAAAGCAGAUUUGGUUUUAAAUUUAAAGGUAGAUUAUGGAGAUGCUUCAGCAAUUCGUUAAGCACGCAUAUUCAUAUUUGAACGUAAUAGGUUUUACCAACUCGUUCAAGUUCAUUGAUUGUGUUGUGUGAGUUGCUAUAGUAAGCAUUAUCGAACUAAUCCUUAAUGUCUUUCGAGACUACAUUCAUUUGAAUGUACUCCUUU